GAUCCUGGCUCAGGAUGAACGCUGGCGGCGCGCCUAACACAUGCAAGUCGAACGGACGAUGAAGAGCUUGCUUUUCAAAGUUAGUGGCGGACGGGUGAGUAACGCGUGGGUAACCUGCCUCAUACAGGGGAAUAGCAGCUGGAAACGGCUGAUAAAACCGCAUAAGCGCACAGUGCCGCAUGGCGCAGUGUGAAAAACUCCGGUGGUAUGAGAUGGACCCGCGUCUGGUUAG
rnacentral:rRNA from 1 species